GGGGAUUUAGCUCAGCGGCAUAAGCGCCUGCCUUGCAAGCAGGCAGUCGUGAGUUCGAACCCCGCUACCG
rnacentral:tRNA from 1 species